rnacentral:rRNA from 2 species
UGGGGAAUAUUGCACAAUGGGGGGAACCCUGAUGCAGCCAUGCCGCGUGUGUGAAGAAGGCCUUCGGGUUGUAAAGCACUUUCAGUGGUGAGGAAAGGUGUGAGCUUAAUACGUUUACACUGUGACGUUAACCACAGAAGAAGCACCGGCUAACUUCGUGCCAGCAGCCGCGGUAAUACGAGGGGUGCAAGCGUUAAUCGGAAUAACUGGGCGUAAAGCGCACGCAGGCGGUUUGUUAAGCCAGAUGUGAAAGCCCCGAGCUCAACUCGGGAACUGCAUUUGGAACUGGCAAACUAGAGUCUUGUAGAGGGGGGUAGAAUUUCCAGUGUAGCGGUGAAAUGCGUAGAGAUUGGAAGGAAUACCAGUGGCGAAGGCGGCCCCCUGGACAAAGACUGACGCUCAUGUGCGAAAGCGUGGGGAGCAAACAGG